CCCCAAAACCCUAAGCCCGACCGCCACAGUUUCCGUCCCCGUCCUCCGACCCCGUCUCUGCUUGGCCCAGCGGACAGGAUUGGCCAGCCACAGCGGAGAUCUGUCUAUAAUGGAAGGUCAACUUAAUGAUGCUGUGGAUUCUAAACCCAGAGUAAAGGCAACACUUCAUCUUGGCUCAGAGACGUUUUCUGUUUGUUCGAAUGCUGGCAUUCUCUCCCAACAGCUGGUUACAAUGAAAGACCAGAGUAUGGCUAUUCUAAAAGACUACAUCACCAAGAAUAAUGCACCGAAUGAUGUUCCUGAUGAAGUCAUUGAAGGCUCUUCUGAUGAAAGUGAAGAAGACGUUGAUAACCCACCCAAGAAAUCCAAAAAGCAAAACUAAAAGCUUCCUUCCGAUAAAAGGAGCAUGUGGGAUGAUGUAAUUAUCUGAAUUAUGCCUGUGGAUUUUUUUGAUUGGGACAAACUAGAACAUUCUUGUUGUAUGAGAAGUAUUCAAACUCAUUUCAAAGAUAAAAGCCAGAUGAUACACAUGCAUGCA